rnacentral:rRNA from 1 species
UACGAAGGGGGCUAGCGUUGCUCGGAAUCACUGGGCGUAAAGCGCACGUAGGCGGGUCGUUAAGUCGGGGGUGAAAUCCUGGAGCUCAACUCCAGAACUGCCUUUGAUACUGGAGAGCUUGAGUCCGGAAGAGGUGAGUGGAACUCCGAGUGUAGAGGUGAAAUUCGUAGAUAUUCGGAAGAACACCAGUGGCGAAGGCGGCUCACUGGUCCGGUACUGACGCUGAGGUGCGAAAGCGUGGGGAGCAAACAGG